rnacentral:rRNA from 1 species
AGCAGCCGCGGUAAUUCCAGCUCCAAUAGCGUAUAUUAAAGUUGUUGCAGUUAAAAAGCUCGUAGUUGAAUUUCAGGAUUUGUCAGUUGGUCGGGCCUUACUGUCCGUACUGACUUGAUGGAUUCUUACCUUCUGAAUAACCAGCAUGCUAUUAAGUUAGUGCGUUGGGGAAGCAGAUCUACUACCUUGAAAAAAUUAGAGUGCUUAAAGCGGGCUAGUGCUUGAAUAGAUUAGCAUGGAAUAAUAAAAUAGGACGGCAUGGUUCUAUUUUGUUGGUUUCUAGGAUCACCGUAAUGAUUAAUAGGGAUAGUUGGGGGCAUUAGUAUUCAAUUGUCAGAGGUGAAACCCUUGGAUUUAUUGAAGACUAACUUCUGCGAAAGCAUUUGCCAAGGAUGUUUUCAUUAAUCAAGAACGAAAGUUAGGGGAUCGAAGACGAUCAGAUACCGUCGUAGUCUUAACCAUAAACUAUGCCGACUAGGAAUCAGACGAUGUUAAUUUUUUAAUGACUCG